CUUGCCUCCCAGACCACCAAAGACCACAACGUAAGCGAACCAGUACUCGCACUCUCGACGGUAAUGGGGCGGCCGGGGGCCUAAAAUUUUCGACUUUCUUCGCUCGAGACCCUUGCUUUAUUGGCAUAUUAAAAAAACAUUUAGAUCACGCACAUAGUGCGAUAAAAAGAAAAUAAAAAAAACAACUACAGAUAAGCCUUUUGAAUAUAAAAGAAAAAAAUAAAGACAGCUGCGGAAUCUCUUUUGUAAGUGGGCUCCUUUGGCCUGCAAGAACUUGUUUCAUCCGCCAGGCGGCCUGUUGGCGGUGGGUUCGUAGUGUUAUCAACUCUUCUCUCCCCAUCUCCUUCUCUCAAACAGAGGGCUUCCCCGUCCUCGGAUAUCUCAUCAAACCUCGUCCUAUUCUUCCUGAUUUCAUCUUCCAUACCAUCUGGAAUUGAAACUUUGGUUGAUAAUACAGGAUCAGCAAAGUUCAAGCCGCAUACCUCCUCCUCCUCCUGCUGCUCUUGCUUUCUCUUGCGGCCAGCCUCCCUUGCAGUUCUUUCCUCCACCUGGGCUUGCAGAACCUCCUACUGACACCUGUCGAUCACGUCCUCCAAAUCAUAAGCCACGUCCUCGAGCUCCUUCAACCAGAGCUUGACGACUGUCUCUUGUUUCCCUUUCCUCUGCAUCAUGGAGGACAGCUCGGAUCCGCUGCAGCAUCCUCUGCAGCUGCUUGAAUUGCUCUAAAAAUCCAAUCUGCGGAUCUGAUGAGGAUGAUGGCGAUGCUGAACUCCGCAAGUUGGUCAACAAAU
rnacentral:lncRNA from 1 species